GUGCUCACUCCAGCAACACAUACUAAAAUUGGAAUGAUACGAAGAUUAGCAUGACCCCUGAACAAGGCUGACACAUAAAUUCAUGGAGCAUUCAAUAUUUUU